rfam:Anopheles dirus strain WRAIR2 unplaced genomic scaffold supercont1.4, whole genome shotgun sequence.
UGUGGGAGCGAGAUUAAGGCUUGCUGGUUAUCACGUUGAACGUAGUCAGUCUUUUUCUCUCUCCUAUC